rnacentral:misc_RNA from 1 species
GGGAAGACAAAUGCAGAAGAACAUUCGACAAAUAAAUGAAUAGCUUAGUCAUCUGGUGACGUUCCAGUGAUGCAUUGGCAUAGAUUAUAUCCUGUAUAUUUUGAACAUAUUAAUAAUAACCAACACUGAAUCAUGAUUUCACUUCUCCAGUUGGUGGGAUGUCCCAUGAUUUUUCUGUAGUCGUACUUAUUUGUAAAGUUUUAACCAU